rnacentral:rRNA from 1 species
UACGGAGGGGGCUAGCGUUGUUCGGAAUUACUGGGCGUAAAGCGUACGUAGGCGGCUUUGUAAGUUAGAGGUGAAAGCCCAGGGCUUAACCCUGGAAUUGCCUUUAAGACUGCAUCGCUAGAAUCGUGGAGAGGUGAGUGGAAUUCCGAGUGUAGAGGUGAAAUUCGUAGAUAUUCGGAAGAACGCCAGUGGCGAAGGCGACUCACUGGACACGUAUUGACGCUGAGGUGCGAAGGCGUGGGGAGCAAACAGG